rnacentral:rRNA from 1 species
GGGGGGGGGGGGGGGGGGGCUGGGCGGGGGGGGGUGGGGCGGGGGUGGGUGGGGGGGGGGGGGCGGACGGGUGGGUAACGGGGGGGAGCGUGCCCGUCGGUUCGGCAUGACGCGGGGGAACUUUAGCUAAUACCGGGUACGUGCGAGAGCAGACAGUUUUAUCUUCCGAAGGAUCGGCCCGCGGCUGAUUAGCGAGUUGGUGCGGUUCCGGCUCACCAAGGCGAAGAUCAGUAGCUGGUGUUAGAGGAUGAUCAGCCACACUGGGACUAAGACACGGCCCAGAAUACUACGGGAGGCAGCAGUGGGGAAUAGUGGACAAUGGGGGCAACCCUGAGCCAGCCAUGCCGCGUGAGUGAUGACGGCCUUAGGGUUGUAAAGCUCUUUUCUCCGGGACGAUAAUGACGGUACCGGAGGAAUAAGCCCAGGCUAACUUCGUG